CGAUCGCUGGCGCAGCAAAAUGCGCCGGAGGAAAGUCCGAACACCACAGGGCGGGGUGCUCCAUAACCUGGAGUCACGGCAACGUGAAGGAAAGUGCCACAGAAAAGAUACCGCCGCGGCAAUCGGCGCCCGUUUCGGGUUCGAUUGCCGCGGUAAGGGUGAAAAGGUGCGGUAAGAGCGCACCAGUUCCCCGGGCGACCGGGGAAGCUUGGUAAACCCCACCCGGUGCAAGACCGAAUAGGGGAGCGUUUGAGGGCGGCCCGCCUGAAGCUCCCGGGUAGGUCGCUAGAGGUACCGGGCAACCGGUAUCCCAGAGGAAUGAUCGUUGCCCGCCGACGGGGCAACCCGCGGGCGGGCACAGAAUUCGGCUUACGGGG
rnacentral:RNase_P_RNA from 1 species